rnacentral:miRNA from 1 species
CAUGAAGCCAAGUUGCAUUUAAACCUUGAAGAAAUAAUGAAUAAUUGUUUAGUUUAAGUAUGUUCCAUGCAAUAUUUGGGACAUACUUAUACUAAAAAUUAUUUGUCGUUCAUCUGAAAUUCAAUUUUAACUGGGAAUC